UAUACUCUAAUGUGUUUUUAAUGAUUACCAUUCAAAACCUGUUACUGAAGGAGCUCUUAUCCUGUUGUAAGGGCCCGCUUUAGCUUAUGUCUUGUUGGUAUAUUAAUAUACUUGUUGCGAUUUAAUCUCCUUUUGGGUCCUUUCAGUUUUGCACAUGGAAGAAGAAGGUCGUUUGCAAAUAGAUGCGAGGGUUGAUUUUGCUUCUUAUCGAAGGAAUCCUCGAUUGUUUAUACUUGCUGAUGUUUAAUAUAUGGAUUUAAUUAUUCUAUGCGCAUUUAGAUAUUGUGAGAGAAUACUUAAAUAGUAUUUUGAGAUUUUUGUUGAGUGAUUUAAAUCUGUAAGUUAUGCAGUUUAUAUAGCAGGGAGUUAUCAUAAUGACUAUUUGUUUUGUGACCUGCUACAAUUUAAUCCUGGAGUGUUGAGGUGUUUAUUUGUGUGUUACUGGAAGGUGUACACUUAAACGAGAGGUAAAAGAGCAAGUCGAUAUCCGAAGGUAAUAUGAAUUAUUAAAUUGGUAAUAUGUCUUGCAAAUUUAUGUAGGUAAAUAUGUGGUUUCCCACGCGAAUUUUGAUAACAAUGCAUUCCUUUGUAAUGCAGGGUUAAAAAUAGACAUGUGUAAACAUCACUGCUAGCAGUGUAGCAGACGAUUUCUGUAUACAAGUGGCGAGUUAUUCAUGAAUCUGUUAAACUAUAUAUGUAGUACAAUAAACACGUGGAAGAGUCUAUUAUUCAUGAUACCUGCUUACAAACAGAGUAGGGUUUAAGCAACUUUAUCAGAUUUAAUCUCGCUGAAAAGUAUUUUCUUCUAAAGUGAAGUAAUUAAACUUCCAUUUCACAUAUAUAUUAAGCAAAGUUAAAUUUUCAUGAGCACGGAUCAAGUAAUUAAGUGCGCAUGUGUGAGGAAAACAAGUAGUUUCACUUUUCAAUAUACCACCGUUUCUUGCAGUAUGUUUGUUUUUAGUCCUGAUGGCUAAUGUAUAUGGUUUGUAUAGAAGUAUUGUUAAUAAAACAAUCAAAUGAAUAAAUAUAAAACAAGUUGGCUUCCUACAAAAAAAAAAAAUGUAGUUAUAACUUAUUGUCAUUUGUAGAAGGAUGACUGUUUUUCAGAUCAUAAUCUAUAGUUAGCCCAAUUGCUAAUGUCUGAUUGUAUCAGCCGGUACUGCCUUAGGAAAAAGAGUGCCAUCCUUACCCUUUGUAUUGGUUUGUAACUGGAUUUUGAAUUUAUGAUUACUGCAUUGGGAUAAAGAGAAAGUUGCUAUUAUCUCCAUUGUGUUGGAUGGUAUUUGAUUUUGAAUUUAUGAUUAAUGUAUAUUGACUGUGUUUCGCCCAUUUGGCUAUAUGUUCGAUCGUUUCUAAUAAAAAAAAAAAGAGAAAGUUAAGAAAGUUGCUGUUAUCUCCAUUGUGUUGAAUGGUACUUGAUUUUGAAUUUAUGAUUAAUGUGUAUCGACUGUUUCGCCCAUUUGGCUACGUUCGAUCGUUUGUAAUAAAAAAAGAGAAAGUCAAGAAAGUUGCUAUUAUCUCCAUUGUGUUGGAUGGUACUGGAAUUUGAAUUUAUGAUUAAUGUGUAUUGACUGUGUUCCGCCCAUUUGGCUAUGUUCGAUCAUUUCUAAUAAAAAAAGAGAAAGUUAAGAAAGUUGCUGUUUUCUCCGUUGUGUUGGAUGGUACUUGAUUUUGAAUUUAUGAUUAAUGUAUAUUUACUGUGUUUCGCCAAUUUGGCUAUGUUCGAUCAUUUCUAAUAAAAAAAAGAGAAAGUUACGAAAAUUGCUAUUAUCUCUAUUGUGAUGGAUGGUACUUGAUUUUGAAUUCAUGAUUAAUGUAUAAUGACUGUGUUUCGCCCAUUUGGCUAUGUCUGAUCAUUUCAAAAAAAAAAAAUGGUUGCCAAGUAUAUCCAUUGUGUUGGAUGGUAACCGGAUUUUGAAUCUAUGAUUAAUGUAUAUUGAUGAACUCUGAAAAAAAAAAAGAAAAAAAAAAGGUUGCCCAUUAUAUUCAUUGUGUUGGAUGGUAACCGGAUUUUGAUUCUAUGGUUAAUGUACGUUGAUGAACUGUGUUUAGCCCAUUUGGCUAUGUUCAGUCAUUUUUUAAAAAGGUUUCGGAUUAUAUGCAUUGUGUUGGAUUGUAACCAGAUAUUGAAUUUAUGAUUAUUUUACAUCGAUGAACUGUGUUUAGCCCAUUUGGCUAUGUUCGAUAAUUUCAAAAAAAAAAAAAAAAAAAAAAAAAAAAGUUUGCCGAUUUUAUCCAUUGUGUUGGAUGGUAACCAGAUAUUGAAUUUAUGAUUAUUUUACAUCGAUGAACUGUGUUUAGCCCAUUUGGCUAUGUUCGAUCAUUUAAUAAUAAUAAAAAAAAUAAAAAAAUAGGUUGCCGAUUAUAUCCCUUUUGUUGGAUGGUAACCGGAUUUUGAUUCUAUGGUUAAUGUACAUUGAUGAACUGUGUUUAGCCCAUUUGGCUAUGUUCAAUCAUUUUUUAAAAAAGGUUUCGGAUUAUAUGCAUUGUGUUGGAUUGUAAUCGGAUUUUGAAUUUAUGAUUAAUGUAUUUUGAUGAACUUAUUUUAGCCGAUUAUAUCCAUUGUGUUGGAUGGUAACCGGAUUUUGAAUUUAUGAUAAAUGUAUAUUGAUGAACUGUGUUUAGCCCAUUUGGCUAUGUUCAAUCAUAAAAGAAUAGGUUGCCGAUUAUAUCCAUUGUGUUUGAUGGUAACCGGAUUUUGAAUUUAACAUUAAUGUAUAUUGAGGAACUGUGUUUAGCCCAUUUGACUCUGUUCUAUCAUUAACAAAAUGGUUGCCGAUUAUAUAAUUUGUGUUUGGUGGUAAACGGAUGGUUGCCGAUUAUAUACUUUGUGUUGGGAUGGUAAUCGGAUUUUUUAAUUUAUGAUUAAUGUAUAUUGAUGAACUGUGCUUGCCCUUUUGGCUAUGUUUUAUCAUAAAAGAGAGAGUUGCUCAUUAUAUUCAUUGUGUUGUAUGGUCAUUAGAUUUUGAAUUCAUGACUAAUGUAUAUUGAUGAACUUAUUUUAGCCCAUUUGUUAAAUGAUUGACCAUUUCAGUCUUAUUGUCUGAAUGCCCACUAUAGACAUUGUGUAUGCUGGUGACAUGAUUUCGAAUUGAUGUGCUGCCAAAUUGCAAAUUUGUCAUAUUUUCCUUUCUAUCUCAAAGGUUAUAACGGGCUAGAGACAAAAUUUACAUAUAUUAAUAUACUUUUUGCCAAAUUUUCAAGUAUACAAUUGAAUAUUUCUAGACAACGUCAAAACCCAAGAAGUUCCGCAACACAGUCCAGAUGGUACAGCCACACCGCAACGCUACCCAGCCGUUUCAGCCCCGCAACCGGUUAAUCUGAACCCGCAACAACUUGUGGCUGUGGUGAGCCUUGUUGCAGAAUACCAUUGUUCCGUGUUUGCGCAGCGAAGGGGCAUUUUGGCUGAUGAUUCGCAGCACUGUCAGACAGUGUUGAAUAAAAUGGUGAGUUGGCUCCGAUGUAGAUCAUUUAUAACGACUUUGGAGACCACGUUUCAGCAAAUGUUUAAAUUACAAUGGUUAAUGGCGAAUUCAUAGAGUAAACAGUAUUGUUACGCUCAGAUCACAUUAAUAACAGUCAAGGUCAGAGUUUUCUUGUUACUGAAGCAGACUGAUAGCUAAAAUUUAAGUCAAAGGCUCCGGCCAAAAGAUAGAUUCAUUGCCGGUCCUUAAUGUACAUGAGUAUCUAUAUAUACCGUGCGCAAGAAAAUGUUAUGACUAGUUUUCAAGGUAUUUGUACCAAAUUUGCUUGUGUAUAAGAACAUAGCUGUACGCGUUGUCAUGGGAAGCACUCUAGGAAGUAUUUAUUUAUUUUUCAGAAUCACUAGUAGCUACCAAUCAAUAUCGUUCUAGGUACUCGUCACUUGGACCUCGUGGAAUCUUCAGAUAGCCAAAACCGGCAUCUCAAAGAGGGUCACUUAAACCUACAUUCCCUCACCAAAGCCCUUAUUGACUUAGCAGUAUUACAAGUCUAUCUUUCUUUAUAUCCAAAUAAAUAAGUGGCAGCUGAAUUUUUAGAGGGUUCUAACAAAGGGUUUCGAUUACAAAACCAGCGCCCUAGAGUCCAAACUUCAGUCAAACUUUAAUUUCCGUUAGGCAAAACUCUGCUGUAGCUAAUGAGAAAGUUACUAGUAUGUAGGAAGAGCAGUUAAGCAGAAUUGCGGAUUAUACACCAUCUUUCCUUCCCGAAGGGAACCCCGCAGGUUCAAGUUUGAAUGAUUU